rnacentral:rRNA from 1 species
UGGGGAAUCUUGGACAAUGGGCGCAAGCCUGAUCCAGCCAUGCCGCGUGAGUGAUGAAGGCCUUAGGGUUGUAAAGCUCUUUUUGGCGGGGACGAUAAUGACGGUACCCGCAGAAUAAGUCCCGGCUAACUUCGUGCCAGCAGCCGCGGUAAUACGAAGGGGACUAGCGUUGUUCGGAAUCACUGGGCGUAAAGCGCACGUAGGCGGAUUUGUAAGUCAGGGGUGAAAUCCCGGGGCUCAACCUCGGAACUGCCUUUGAUACUGCGGAUCUCGAGUCCGAUAGAGGUGGGUGGAAUUCCUAGUGUAGAGGUGAAAUUCGUAGAUAUUAGGAAGAACACCGGUGGCGAAGGCGGCCCACUGGAUCGGUACUGACGCUGAGGUGCGAAAGCGUGGGGAGCAAACAGGAUUAGAUACCCAAGUAGUCCCUGAGCGGGCUGGCAAGGCGCAU